AACCAGGGGAUUGAGUUAUAUUACUACGGUAAAAAGACAGUUAAAUAGAAUGACAUAAGGUUUUGUCAUAUUGCGCUAUUAAGAGGUAGAAUUCGAAUAUAGGCAGAUAUACUCAAUAAAACCGGUGCUUUGAAGCUGUGACAACUUUGAGGGAAACUAGGAUUAGAUACCCUAUUAUUCAUAGAUAUAAAUAAGAGUUUUCUACCUGAGUACUAAGAAUAAAAAAUUUAAAACUCAAAGAGCUUGGCGGUGUUCUAGACUACUUAGGGGAACCUGUCUCAUAAUCGACAAUCCACGUUACACCUAACCUUCUUUUGUAUUCAGUUUGUAUACCGUCGUCGCCAGGUAACUUUUAAGAUAAAAACAGUUAGCUGAUUAAACACUUAAGUUAAAACGUCAGAUCAAGGUGCAGCCAACAAGAAGGGGUAGAUGGGUUACAAUUAUCAAAUUUAUAAUUACGGGUAAUAAUUUUAAAGAUAUUUAAUAAGGAGGACUUAAAAGUAAAAUGGAAUACAUAAACAUUUUGAAUGAAGCUCUGGAGCGUGC
rnacentral:rRNA from 1 species